AGAUUGAACGCUGGCGGCAGGCCUAACACAUGCAAGUCGAGCGGCAGCACGGGUACUUGUACCUGGUGGCGAGCGGCGGACGGGUGAGUAAUGCCUAGGAAUCUGCCUGGUAGUGGGGGAUAACGCUCGGAAACGGACGCUAAUACCGCAUACGUCCUACGGGAGAAAGCAGGGGACCUUCGGGCCUUGCGCUAUCAGAUGAGCCUAGGUCGAUUAGCUAGUUGGUGAGGUAAUGGCUCACCAAGGCGACGAUCCGUAACUGGUCUGAGAGGAUGAUCAGUCACACUGGAACUGAGACACGGUCCAGACUCCUACGGGAGGCAGCAGUGGGAAUAUUGGACAAUGGGCGAAAGCCUGAUCCAGCCAUGCCGCGUGUGUGAAGAAGGUCUUGGAUUGUAAAGCACUUUAAGUGGAGGAAGGCAGUUACCUAAUACGUAUCUGUUUGACGUUACGACAGAAUAAGCACGCUAACUCUAGUG
rnacentral:rRNA from 1 species